CUUACCUGCAGUCAGCCUGCUUGAGUGAAGAAUGGUGACUCAGAGAGGGGCUUUAAUCACAGGCAGGAGAGGAGAAUAUUACUAUGUUUUCCCAGCUCAGUAAGAACCAAGUGGCCAUUUACCAUCUCCCGAAUGCCCAACUGCCUUUCUCAGCAGGAUGAGAAAUUGCUUUGCUCUUCAAGGCACAAGUCCUCAAGGAGCGUCAGGGGAAUGAAUGGAGAACAGGGUGAAGACCUGAGUCCUUCUAAUAAUUCCUCUCCCCACCUUGAUCUGCUCUGGCUGGCUUUGGUUCAGUUGCCCUCCUGCUGACAGGGAUUGCCUUCACGUUCUAAGCCAGUCUAUCAGAUUUUCCAAGAAGAUCUUCCUUUGGAAUCCCUCCAUGAGAAAUGAUUUUGCUCAGAGAAAACUCCUGCAUCUUAACUCAGACUGAUUGGAUUAAAAAUGGCAGCGGCAGCAGCAGCAUCAUUGGCCAAAGGCUCCAUUACAUUUAGUUCUAGCUACUGGCAAAUUGACUGCAACUGCGGUAACAAGAUUAUACCUUCCUGCUCUUUCCCACCGAGAGAGCCUCCAUC